rnacentral:rRNA from 1 species
AUUGAACGCUGGCGGCAGGCCUAACACAUGCAAGUCGAACGGUAACAGGAAGAAGCUUGCUUCUUUGCUGACGAGUGGCGGACGGGUGAGUAAUGUCUGGGAAACUGCCUGAUGGAGGGGGAUAACUACUGGAAACGGUAGCUAAUACCGCAUAACGUCGCAAGACCAAAAAGGGGGACCUUCGGGCCUCUUGCCAUCGGAUGUGCCCAGAUGGGAUUAGCUAGUAGGUGGGGUAACGGCUCACCUAGGCGACGAUCCCUAGCUGGUCUGAGAGGAUGACCAGCCACACUGGAACUUAGACACGGUCCAGACUCCUACGGGAGGCAGCAGUGGGGAAUAUUGCACAAUGGGGGCAAACCUGAUGCAGCCAUGCCGCGUGUAUGAAGAAGGCCUUCGGGUUGUAAAGUACUUUCAGCGGGGAGGAAGGGAGUAAAGUUAAUACCAUUGCUCAUUGACGUUACCCGCAGAAGAAGCACCGGCUAACUCCGUG